rnacentral:ncRNA from 2 species
GAUGAAAUAGGCGAUGGAGUUCGCCAUAACUGCCGAAAGGCUGAUGACUCCUACCCGUGU